rnacentral:rRNA from 1 species
GGAUCCAGACUUUGAUUCUGGCUCAGGAUGAACGCUAGCUACAGGCUUAACACAUGCAAGUCGAGGGGCAGCAUGAACUUAGCUUGCUAAGUUUGAUGGCGACCGGCGCACGGGUGAGUAACACGUAUCCAACCUUCCGUUUACUCAGGGAUAGCCUUUCGAAAGAAAGAUUAAUACCUGAUAGUAUGGUGAGAUUGCAUGAUAGCACCAUUAAAGAUUUAUUGGUAAACGAUGGGGAUGCGUUCCAUUAGGUAGUAGGCGGGGUAACGGCCCACCUAGCCGACGAUGGAUAGGGGUUCUGAGAGGAAGGUCCCCCACAUUGGAACUGAGACACGAUCCAAACUCCUACGGGAGGCAGCAGUGAGGAAUAUUGGUCAAUGGGCGAGAGCCUGAACCAGCCAAGUAGCGUGAAGGAUGAAGGUCCUACGGAUUGUAAACUUCUUUUAUACGGGAAUAAAGUAUCCUACGUGUAGGAUUUUGUAUGUACCGUAUGAAUAAGCAUCGGCUAACUCCGUGCCAGCAGCCGCGGUAAUACGGAGGAUGCGAGCGUUAUCCGGAUUUAUUGGGUUUAAAGGGAGCGCAGACGGGAGAUUAAGUCAGUUGUGAAAGUUUGCGGCUCAACCGUAAAAUUGCAGUUGAUACUGGUUUCCUUGAGUGCAGUUGAGGCAGGCGGAAUUCGUGGUGUAGCGGUGAAAUGCUUAGAUAUCACGAAGAACCCCGAUUGCGAAGGCAGCUUGCUAAACUGUAACUGACGUUCAUGCUCGAAAGUGUGGGUAUCAAACAGGAUUAGAUACCCUGGUAGUCCACACGGUAAACGAUGGAUACUCGCUGUUGGCGAUAUACUGUCAGCGGCCAAGCGAAAGCAUUAAGUAUCCCACCUGGGGAGUACGCCGGCAACGGUGCAACUCAAAGGAAUUGACG